CCUACGGGAGGCAGCAGUGAGGAAUAUUGGUCAAUGGGCGCGAGCCUGAACCAGCCAAGUAGCGUGAGGGAUGACUGCCCUACGGGUUGUAAACUUCUUUUAUAAAGGAAUAAAGUGCGGCACGUGUGCCUUUUUGUAUGGACUUUGUGAAUAAGGAUCGGCUAACUCCGUGCCAGCAGCCGCGGUAAUACGGAGGAUACGAGCGUUAUCCGGAUUUAUUGGGUUUAAAGGGAGCGUAGAUGGGUUGUUAAGUCAGUUGUGAAAGUUUGCGGCUCAACCGUAAAAUUGCAAUUGAUACUGGCAGCCUUGAGUACAGGUGAGGUAGGCGGAAUGCGUGGUGUAGCGGUGAAAUGCUUAGAUAUCACGAAGAACCCCGAUUGCGAAGGCAGCCUACUAAACUGCGACUGACAUUGAUGCUCGAAAGCGUGGGUAUCAAACAGGAUUAGAUACCCCUGUAGUC
rnacentral:rRNA from 1 species